UACGUAGGGUGCGAGCGUUAAUCGGAAUUACUGGGCGUAAAGCGUGCGCAGGCGGUUGUGCAAGACAGAUGUGAAAUCCCCGGGCUUAACCUGGGAACUGCAUUUGUGACUGUACGGCUAGAGUGCGGCAGAGGGGGAUGGAAUUCCGCGUGUAGCAGUGAAAUGCGUAGAUAUGCGGAGGAACACCGAUGGCGAAGGCAAUCCCCUGGGCCUGCACUGACGCUCAUGCACGAAAGCGUGGGGAGCAAACAGG
rnacentral:rRNA from 1 species